CUUGAGGUCAACCUCAAAUACACCACCUAGCCACUAUGUGAUGAAAAUUCAGUUAUUUUCCCAAAUUGCAAAGAAAAAAAUAGAGACGUACCAUUCAUCUGAUUUUGAGGCUGGAGGCUACAAAUGGUACAAUAAUUAUAAAUGUACUUAAUUAUAAUUUAUAGGUGUGAUUUAAAUGUGAAAUUAAUGUCAUGUUAAUUUGCAGGAACUUGAUUGUUUACCCGAAUGGAAACAAAGACAAAGGUAUUACAGACCAUAUUUCCGUGUACUUGGCGAUGACACAAGUAGAGUCUCUCAAUCCCGGUUGGGAGAUUCAUGCAAAUUUUCGAUUGUUUUUGCUUGAUCAAAAUAAAGACAAUUAUUUUACACUUGAAGGUAUAGCUACCUACGCCUACCUAUUAAAUUUGAAAUUUAUUGAAGUUGGUUUAAUUAAUCGUGUGAUAAUCGAAUGAAACAGAUGAUGUUGGGAAACGGUUUCACAAAAUGAAGCUCGAGUAUGGGUUCGAUAAAUUUGUACCUCUCAGCCUCUUCAACGAUCCCGCAAAGGGAUAUCUGGUGAAUGACACUUGCGUGCUUGGAGUUGAGGUUUAUGUUACUCAAGAGAAACUCACUGGAAAGGGGGAGAUUUUGUCAAUGUUCAAAAAUGCCAUUAGCUACAAACACACUUGGAAAAUCGACAAUUUCUCCAAUUUAACUGACGAAUAUCUAGACUCCAAACCAUUCAAUGCUGCAAAUCAAACAUGGUAUACAUCUUUUUUAAUCAAACUCCAUUACAUCUCGACUAUUUUUCAUGAUAUGUAAAAGUAAGAUUCGUGGAUGCAGGAAGAUACAAUUAUAUCCGAAAGGGAUAGGCACUGGAAAGGACAACUAUAUAUCGUUAUAUCUGGCAUUGGCUGAACCUGAAAAACUUUCUCCUACAACUAAGAUAUACACAGAAUAUAGGUUACGUAUAUUAGACCAAAUUAAUGGAAUACACGACUCUGGUACAGGUAAAUCACGACGCAUAUAAUAUU
rnacentral:lncRNA from 1 species